GACGAACGCUGGCGGCGCGCCUAACACAUGCAAGUCGAACGAGCGAGAGGAGGUUUACUUUCUCAAGCGAGUGGCCAACGGGUGAGUAACGCGUGAGGAACCUGCCUCAAAGAGGGGGACAACAGUUGGAAACGACUGCUAACACCGCAUAAGCCCACGACCCGGCAUCGGGUAGAGGGAAAAGGAGCAAUCCGCUUUGAGAUGGCCUCGCGUCCGAUUAGCUAGUUGGUGAGGUAAUGGCCCACCAAGGCGACGAUCGGUAGCCGGACUGAGAGGUUGAACGGCCACAUUGGGACUGAGACACGGCCCAGACUCCUACGGGAGGCAGCAGUGGGGAAUAUUGCACAAUGGGGGAAACCCUGAUGCAGCGACGCCGCGUGGAGGAAGAAGGUCUUCGGAUUGUAAACUCCUGUUGUUGAGGAAGAUAAUGACGGUACUCAACAAGGAAGUGACGGCUAACUACGUG
rnacentral:rRNA from 1 species